rnacentral:rRNA from 1 species
UACAGAGGUCUCAAGCGUUGUUCGGAUUCAUUGGGCGUAAAGGGUGCGUAGGUGGUGCUGUAAGUCAGGUGUGAAAUCUCGGGGGCUCAACCCCCGAAACUGCACUCGAUACUGCUUUGCUUGAGGACUGGAGAGGAGAUUGGAAUUCACGGUGUAGCAGUGAAAUGCGUAGAUAUCGUGAGGAAGACCAGUGGCGAAGGCGGAUCUCUGGACAGUUCCUGACGCUGAGGCGCGAAGGCCCAGGGGGAGCAAAACGGGG